rnacentral:siRNA from 1 species
AACAAAGGGUGUCUUGAUAGGCAU